CGCCGCGUGAGGGAUGACGGCCUUCAGGGUUGUAAACCUCUUUUAGUAGGGAAGAAGCGAAAGUGACGGUACCUGCAGAAAAAGCACCGGCUAACUACGUGCCAGCAGCCGCGGUAAUACGUAGGGUGCAAGCGUUGUCCGGAAUUAUUGGGCGUAAAGAGCUCGUAGGCGGUUUGUCGCGUCUGCUGUGAAAACUGGAGGCUCAACCUCCAGCCUGCAGUGGGUACGGGCAGACUAGAGUGCGGUAGGGGAGAUUGGAAUUCCUGGUGUAGCGGUGGAAUGCGCAGAUAUCAGGAGGAACACCGAUGGCGAAGGCAGAUCUCUGGGCCGUAACUGACGCUGAGGAGCGAAAGCGUGGGGAGCGAACAGGAUUAGAUACCCUGGUAGUCCACGCCGUAAACGUUGGGAACUAGAUGUGGGGGCCAUUCCACGGUCUCCGUGUCGCAGCUAACGCAUUAAGUUCCCCGCCU
rnacentral:rRNA from 1 species